CGCGUAGGCGGGAUGGUCAAGUCGGUCGUGAAAUCCUUCGGCUCAACCGAAGAACGUCGAUCGAUACUGCUGUUCUUGAGGAUUGCAGAGGAGACUGGAAUUCCCGGUGUAGCGGUGAAAUGUGUAGAGAUCGGGAGGAACACCGGUGGCGAAGGCGGGUCUCUGGGCAAUUCCUGACGCUGAGGCGCGAAAGCGUGGGGAGCAAACGGGAUUAGAUACCCCGGUAGUCCACGCUGUAAACGAUGACGACUAGGUGUGGGGGGGUUCAGUCCCCUCCGUGCCGCAGCUAACGCAUUAAGUCGUCCGCCUGGGGAGUACGGGCCGCAAGGUUGAA
rnacentral:rRNA from 1 species